rnacentral:lncRNA from 10 species
UAACGGUAUUGAGGACUGUUAUAUCUGGAUUUCUUGCCUCCAUGUUGACUUGAAUUAUUGAAAACAAUCAUAUUUAUGUGAUUCUAGUGUGCUUCAAUAAAAAUCAUUCUAAAACCCUUCCUCUCUUCCUUCCUUUCUUCCUUUCUUCCUUCCUUCCCUUCUUGUUCUUGUUCUUUUCCUCCUCCUAUUCUUCCUCCUCCUGUUCCCCCACUCUUUCUUCUCUUUCUGUGAUGGUGAUAUGGUUGAGGGAAAAUCUUGCUUUGCUAAUGUGCCAUUUUUUUACUUCCUUCCUUAGUCUGACACAAAUGAUGUUUUCUGAAGUCCACUUUAGACACAAUAUUUUGGAAACCCUGAUUCAAUUUUACCGAUCUAUGAGCAUACUAAUCUACAAGGGCUGGUGGCAAGGUGAAAAACUAGGAUAGACCUGAUAGGCUUGAAGAAAAAGAUGGAGUGAUUCUAGGUAACAAAUUAAGAAAAAAUACAGAAAUCAGGAGAAGUAAGGAGAUUUGAUAUAGGGUAAUAAAUCCCAGGGCUGUUCUUUUAAGCUGUCCAACUUAGACUCCAAGAGCAGCCAUCUGAAUACCACUUUUGCUAGUAAUUUGAAAUACUCACUCUCCUUGACCUCAUUGCAGGUGGACCUUGGCAAUACCCAGCCUGUGAUAAACUCUACUUUCUUCUUACACAUGGAUGAGAUCACAAAAUUGAAUGGAUCUAUUGAAGGUCAUGGCAUUGAGCCAAAGAGGGAAUUCCUACCUGAUUGCUCCAAUAGGGCCUGAAAUUCAACAUAUUUUAGAUCUGAACAAAUUAUCUCUUCCUUUUCCACAUGUACCCCCCCCCCUUUUUUUUUGGUUUCCCAAUUUGUAUUAAUACCACACCAUUUUCCUAGUCACACAGACUUCACAACUAAUUCAUGUUUUUCUCUAACCAUUUAGUCUUCACAUCCCAGCACUUAUAAAACCCUGGAGAUUAUGUCUCUUUAUAUCUCUUGAAUUUGAAAUGUUCUUUUCACUCCCUCUGCAGGGGCCUUGGUUUCAAAUCUCAUUACUGGGCCAUUAUUAUAAUAGAUAUCUUGUUAAUGUCCACUUGAAUGGGGUCUCUCUCUCUCUCCUUAUCCCAGCCUCACAUUGCUUCCAAAUUAAACUGUAGCUGAAAUGUAUUUCCUCACUUUGAAACAUUCUCACUCAUUAUCCUAUAAGUUCUAAAUUCUUGGCCCUGGCACUCAAGGUCACCCCUUAUUUAUUCCAGACUCAGUUUUUCAGAAUUUUUCACACUGCUCUCUUGACUCCUAGGGGACACUUCACAUCUCCUUGACAAUCCCUGAUACUAUGAUUAUCCCAUGUCUUUGGACCAAGAAUGGCCUUACAUUUCCAGUUCUGGUACAAGAAGAGGAAAUAAUUCACAUAUUUGUCUAAGAAUUGAAAUGUAUUCCCACUUCUGAUGGAACUCUGAACUGCAGACGAUGGAAAUGAAAAAAAUAACCAGAAAAUCUGACAAAAUACUUAUUAUGCUUUUUGAGUCCAACCCUAUGCGGGAAUUCAUUAGCAUUUUCUUACCAUUUCAGAAACAAGUAUCACAAAAGUCAAUUACGUUUUCUUGAUAUCUGUACUUCUUUUUUAUUCAUUCACCCAUCAGAUAUUCUUUCAGUACCUACUCUAUGCCAGGUAGACUUCCAUGUGCUGGCAUUCAGUAGCAGGUUCUUAACUGAUGGGGUGACAUCUGCAAUCCCAUUAACAUCUUUACCCACUACAUGCUGUCCAGCACUGAUCAUGGAGUAUUAAUAUGUUAUUUUCCACCCAUUUUCACAGUGCUUUGCGUAGUAUAUGUGUGACAAAGUAAUCCUCAGCAAUUUAUCAUGAUGUCAAGACAUUUAACUCUAAUGCAAAUGGAAGUUUCUCAUAGCCAUGCCAGGCAUGCCAGGAGGGUAGCUAUCUCAUAUAAGGAUUUCUAUGAAGGAGGAUAUUGCAGUUCUGUUUCAUUUGAAGAUGUAAGUCUCCCUAUGACAGGUCUCAUGUGUUAUUGCUAUUGGCUGCUUGACUCAUCCUGAAAUGGGAGUUCUUGGUUUCCUUCUUAUUUAGAAGGGAACAAGGGUCAGCACCUCAACUGCUGCAAUGCAUUGUAGGAAUUAGAAAAUUUUAGUUUUCUCACACAGGUAAACAAGUGAUUGUCUUUUAUGUAUCUCUUGUUUGAGUACUGGAGAGCUUUCAUUUUAUCUCUCUCCUGAGGUCACCUGGAAGAAAUCUCUUCUCUGUCUCCUAAUUCCACAUUUCAUUUAGUCUAUUUUAAUAGAUGUUGACCGAUUGAUUGCAGGAACCUCUUAACUAAUUUGACUCCUUUUCUCUCCUGCCUGAAUGCUUUUUCAAGAUAGCCAAUCUAAUAAUGCCUUUCUGCAUCUUUAAGUCAUUGAUGGCUUUUCAAGGCCUUUUGAGCUACAGAGGCUCCCGUAUAGGGUGGCUCUCCUGACCUGCCAUUUUCUCUGUCUCUGAUGGCCAAAGACUAGAUCAUUCCUUCCUAUGCUGAUUCCCAUACCACUCUUUUUAUACCUGUAAUGUAGCCACUAUUACACUGUAAUCUAGCUAGUCAUUUAUAUUUCUGUCUUCCUCACUUCCAUUUUGAGCAUGUUGAGGGCAGAGAGAAUGUCCUAUUCAUCUUUGCCUUUCCAGGACCUAGCACAGUGCCUGGUACAAAAUAGGCACUAAAUAUUUGCUGAAUUGAGUUAAGCAAAUACACUGGAGUUUCCAGUGAAGUCAUGAAGAAUUUUAUGAGAAACACUAAAUUCCUCUCAUAUCCUAUGAAUUUGUAACUUUUCAGCAACCACCUUUUACUUGAUAGUAUAUGCUACCUCCAAAGAAUAAGUCAUCCUAUAGUAAGUCAAUGAGUUCUGUAUUAUUUUUGCUCUUGAUGAGGCACAGUUGAUCAUUUACCAUAUGAUUGACUUUAAAUGUAAGACAACUACCAGAUAACCCUAUCUAUGCCCAUUUGAUCUAUUUCCCCCUUUCUGGUAUCUACACAAAAUGAGAUAAAUAAUUUUCUCCCUUGGGCAAUUUAUUCCAAAAAGAUAUGGUUUGAAAAGAAGGCUUUGAGCUCUGGAUCAAUCAGAAUUUUUACAAAUCCCACAAUAAGAAUGGAAUCCAAAGCAAGCCCACCUACUUGGUUUUCCCCACAGAAGGCAAAUGAACGUGCACCUCCUAAGAGCUCUGUAUUCAGAGAAAAUGAUCUCUAUAUGGUACUAGCUGGAGCUUGCUUCGUGAAAAGGUGUUUGUUAGAAAAAGCUUGCCUCUGUUUUGAAUUAACUUCAUGUUUCCACUUUAAUCUCCCUUUUGUCCAGCUCAUUUUUUUUUUGAGAUUCUCCUGACCACUUUUCACCAUGUCCCACGGAUAUUUAGGUCUCACAGUUCCUACCCCACCUACCUGUGCCAUCUGUAGGCCAUCCAUGAAAACCUAUUUAAAGCUAAGGUAUUAAUA